GACGAACGCUGGCGGCGUGCUUAACACAUGCAAGUCGAGCGAUGAAGCACCUUCGGGUGUGAAUUAGCGGCGAACGGGUGAGGAACACGUGAAGAAUCUGCCUUCAACUCUGGGAUAACUCCGGGAAACCGGGGCCAAUACCGGAUAUGAGCCUUGAUCGCAUGAUCGGGGCUGGAAAGUUUUUCGGUUGAAGAUGACUUCGCGGCCUAUCAGCUUGGUGGUGGGUUAAUGGCUCACCGAGGCGACGACGGGUAGCCGGCCUGGGAGGGCGACCGGCCACACUGGGGCGGGGACACGGCCCAGACUCCUACGGGAGGCAGAAGUGGGGAAUAUUGGGCAAUGGAGGAAACUCUGACCCAGCGACGCCGCGUGAGGGAUGAAGGCCUUCGGGUUGUAAACCUCUUUCAGUAGGGAAGAAGCGAAAGUGACGGUACCUACAGAAGAAGCACCGGCUAACUAUGUGCCAGCAGCCGCCGUAA
rnacentral:rRNA from 1 species